CUGGGCUGCAAUGUGAAGGGAAUUUCAAGCGGAGGGGAAAAGGGUGAUAACAUUGGGGUGACGCAAACACAGCACAAGGGAACAGCAGGUCAGCCAAGGAGGCACAGGCCUGGCCAGGGUGCCACUGGGACAAAGGGAACACAGGAGCCUAAGGCAGGGCAGAACUGUGAAUAAGGGGUCACGGGCCUUGGUAGGGCGGGCAUGGGGAGAAACCAGAAGCUCCUUCAGGGGAGGUGGGAGCAGGGCUGGGCAGCAGUGGGCAGUGCAGCUGUAACACAAGAGCUGGGGGCAGUGGGGAAACCAGGAAGUCUGCAGGCACGACGGUCAGGGGAGGAGCUUUUUUAACAAAUCUAAGGGUGCAGGGAUCACUUUCACCUAGCAAGCUGCUCAGCCUUGUUUCUUUUGUUCCAGGCAGGCCAGCUCUAUUCGAGAGGAUACAGGCAAGCCGGGGAGAUGAAGGUGCAGGUCCUAAAUCCACCGAAGGUCGAGUGAUAGGUGGCCAGUCCCACAGACCUGCACACAGCUGGGCUCCGCUCUCCCUCCUUCCUCCACGCCACAGGGCUGGAAGGAAUCCAGGGAGCCCUUCCGAAAAUUCCUUUAGAGAACUGACCUCAUUUGAAGCGGACACUGAGCCUGGAGAAGCCUUUUACUUCUGGCCGGGUGAGUGUAAGUCGAAAUAAAGGCAAAGUCGUGCAUUUGAAGAUAAGUGUGAUAGUCCCCAGCACAGAGUGAGACCAUGGCAACACACAAGGACACAGGAGCUCCUGUCUCAUGACCAGAAAACAAAACCCAGCCAUGGUGAGUCAGGAGCACCGUGGGACAGAGAGUUCUCCUCGGUUUGGGUCAGGAUGCCUGAGCUCAGCAAGGAUUUAUUGACCUUCUACACUGAGUUCAGCAGAGCCAGUGAGAUGACAUUCUCACAUACUGAUUAUGCAUAGCGGGCUCAAGGGAACCACAGCUUUCUGGCAGCUGGCUCUGAUCAUCCUACGCAGCUUUCCUCAGAUGUCCCACACUCCUGGCUUCUCCAGCUCUCUGGGGUUUCCAGUCCAGGUUUGCCUUCACUCUCAGAGCUUCACACACUGCCCCCCAGAGCCACACUGCCUGGCUUCCAGGGGAAUGAAUCCCAGGAGGCCAGUUUCCCAGAUGACCUUUUUUUUUCCGAAUAAAAAAACAGUUUUGUCGAGGUAUAAUUAACAUACAAU